GAGCAUCAGAAUUUGGUGACUCACUGAAGGUGUGGGGGCUGAGAAAGAAGCAAGAUGACUCAAGUUUCAGCUCUGCAAUACAGGGUUCGCGUUGGUGCCUUUAACCAGGGAACAAAAUGUGCUAGCUGUGUGACUAUGGACACAUAUCUGCCCUGGUCUCUCUAUCUGGAAUAAGAAUCACAGGGGUGUUGUGAAAGACAACAGGAAGGCUUUCAACAAUACCCGGCAUACAGAUACAGUCAAUGAUAUGUGGACAUGCAUCAAAGCUUUCUCCUGUUGGUGACCAUCAUAGCCGUCCAAUGACCAUGACAUCCACCACCUCGCCCUUGUGGAGUUCCACGUACUGUUCUGUCUUUGGAGGUAGCAUCAAUAAUCCAUUGGCGCUGCGCAUGCUCAUCAGACGGCUGCUCAUCUGAUUACCUGGAAUGAAAUACUCUCAUUACUGCAGCACAGGCAUCAGUGCUACACGUGGAGAGGCCAGCAAAUGGAGCGCAGGGCUCCAAGGAAGAGAUGACCAGUCUUCCCAGCACCUUUUCCAGAAAGUCCAGAGGCUGACUGUUAUUGUAAAGAAGUAAGAAUGCUAGGAAGUCAGUGUUCAUAUGGGGGAAAGGACAGAUGGAAAAGGUAAAGUCUAUUAUUAUGGGUUGUAAUGAUCCUAGACAUAUGAAAUGAGAAAUUGAAGCAAUUAUUUUACUAUUGAAAGGAAAAGAGGUAGAUUUAAUAAACAAAUUCAAUAACUAACCAUCCACCAGUAUUCACUGUCGAUUUAAUAUGUGCUAGGCAUUAUUCAACUACCCAUUUAUAGAACUAUUUUCAGUGUAUAAGGAAUAGGCUUUUUUAUGUUGCUGAUAUUUUCUUUGCUGGUAGCAUAGCUUCCUAUUGCUCCUAAAUUGUUUUGUGCUUUCCUCUUAGUUUUUCUCUCUGUGUGUGGUCUCCAGUGCUAAAAUGCAGGAGCCACUUAUAUGGCUGCUUUGCAGCCAAUUUUAAAAAAAGAGAUGGUAGAUGUUAAAGUGAAAUAAAUGUAAGGAUUCCUACAAGCUUUGCAGUGUUGGAUAAGCAUGUGUCUCUUGGAACAAUAUGGAUUUUUCCUGCUUCCUCAGGUUACAAGUGUGAAUACAGUAAAUUCUCCAUUACUGGGUUGGCUGUGUAAAUCUGUAUGGACUUUGACUUUUUGAUCUGAUCAUAAUUUGUUUUCAUUCACGGUGGCCUUCCUGCCCCUUCUUCCUUCCUCUCCCUCCAUCUCUCUGUUUCUUACUUUGCCUACAAUUCUGUGAUUACUGAAAGGAAGCUCCAUUUGGGGGAGGGGAGGACACUAUGCCUGGCCAGGUGAUUUUAAGUGAUAUUUUAGGGAAAUAAGAUGCUUUUAUCUUCUUUCAUUCACAAAUCUCCAGUACUAACAGUAUCAGUGUUAGGACUGCUGAUGGACUAGAUUUUCAAAAAAAUUUUUAUUUUACAUAUAUGUGUCUGUGUGCACAUGCAAGUGCCACAGCAUUCAUGUUGGGGUCAGAGGUCAACUUUCAGGAAGCCAGGUUUAUCCCACCAAAUGGGUCCUAGGGGUUGAACUCAGGUUGUGAGGCGUGGCAGCAUGAGCCUUUAACCUGCUGAGCUAUCUUGUCAGUUGUUUUAGGUGUUCUUUGUUUGUGUUGUUUUUUUGAGACAGGGUUUCUCUGUGUAGCCCUGGCUGUCCUGGAACUCACUCUGUAGACCAGGCAGCCUUAAACUCAGAGAUCUGCCUGCCUUUGCCUCCUGAGUGCUGGAAUUAAUGGUGUGUGCUGGCAUUUUAGAUGUUUUUACACUAUGCAUCCUGAAUAAUAUUUUAUCACUAUUUCUUCUUUUGUGUUUUUUCAUUUUUAAAAAUAAUUUAUUUUUAUUUCAUGCACAUUCGUGUUUUGUCUGUGUGAAAGUGUCAGAUCUUCUGAAACUAGAGGUACAGGUAGUUAGAGCUGUCAUGUGAAUGCUGGGAAUUGAAUCUGUGUCCUCUGGAAGAACAACCACUUGCUCUUAACCACAGAGCCAUUUCUCCAACCCCUCUUCUGUGUUUUAUGUUCCUUUGGUCAACUAAUCAUAGAACUGUGUCAUAGGUAAAUUACUUUAAAACUUUUGAAAAGUAAUAGCUUGGUUCUAUAGGUUAUGAUGUCAAGAAAGUCAAUCGUUAGUAACACAGAAAAAUGUAUAACUGGUUGAGCAGUAAGUUAAAUCUGUAGUAGAGAAAGGGACUCUUACUGUAGUGUUUAGCCCUUGUCUGACUAAUGCUGUUCUAAACAGCACAUUCGCCUUCUCCUCCUCAAGUGCCACAGUCUUUUAGUACUUUGAUUGCCCCUCUUGAAUUUUUUGAAGAGCCAGCACAUACAAGCAAGCAGGUUAACUUCUGUCCUCAAUGGACUUCACUGGGGAAACAAUCUCACCUCUUACUCCAUACAGGUCUAGUGUGUGGUACAGGCUGUUUUCUGUUUGCUGGUUUGUUCUUAGGACCCACUAGAUAUUUGAAGACUUGCUCUCUGGAUUCUUUUAAAUACUUUUAAAGUUUAAAACAUUUUAUUUAUUUUUAUGUGUAUGAGUGCUUUGCCUGUGUAUGUCUGUAUGCCAUGUAUAUACAAUGCCUGAGGAGAAGGCCAGAAGAGGGCAUCAGAUCCCCUAGGACUUAAGUGACAGAAAGUUGUGAGCUGCAUGUGGGUGCUGGAAAUUGAAUCUUGGUCCUCUGGUAGAGCAGCUAGUACUUCUGAGCCAUCCUCUUUAUAUUUGAGGGACAUAAGAGUGAAUGUUCCCUUCUACUUUCCAUCACAAAGGAGAGAAUAUUAAUACAUUUAUGAGAAAACAAAUCUAAAAUUAUAGGCAUCUAUUUUGGGCAGUUAGUAAUUGUUAUCAGGCUUCCAUUUUGGUUUCUGGUGAUUAGAAACCAAAUAGGAAACAUUACCCUGGCU